CUGUACAAACAUGCUGCAUAUUUUGAACCCUUCCUCCAAAACAGAGCCUUGAGUUUCUUGUUUCCUGCAGUACAACUGCAUCAGAGAUGAAAGAAGAAGACAGAGAGAAUUUCUUUGAUUGCCUGCUUUUUGCCUCCCUGAAAAAUCUGAG